CAAAUGGAGCUGCUCUUAGCAUUAAAAUUGGCCUGAGAGAGCUAGGAAAGUUUAUCUUGGAGCCAGCAUGAGGUCUGUUCCUCCAAGUCAAAUAUUUCUCUUUAAAACUAGGAAGGCUUUCUGGAGAGUUUUAAAGUCUUUUUUUCCCCCUGUUAUUCUCCCCUCUGAAUAAUCAGGAUUUUCAUACACACUUCCUUUUUAUUUCAGGGCAUACAAUCUCUCUGCUCAGGAGAGAAAAGGCAUUAAAACAGCUCAAUACUCGGCUAAUCAAACAGCUAUUUAUUUUCAGUCUGUCCUCAUAGGAUUUUCUGAAUGAGGCAGAGAGGCCACUUUAGAAUGAUCUAGAAAGUCAAAGUGGUACCUCUGGUGCUUCUGGUCUUCAGGAUGCUGGGAAAAUUCCUGGGAGUUUAAUGUUCUCCUUUCAAACCCCCCAGCCCAGCCUGGGAGCUGUGUUAUUAUUCUCUCCAGCUCCUGUUUCUCUCUCACUAUUUUGGAAUAAAGACCUCUCAGUGUGUGAAGGAACGGCUUCUUUCUCAGCAGCAUAAGAUGAGAUGGAGAAAUUUGUAGCAUGGAUUUAUUCAACAUUUACUGAUACCUACGAGGCCAGGAAUAAUUCUAUCCACUGGAGAUACAGAGAUAAUCAAGGCUCAGCCACUAUCAAGGAGAAAUCCACUGAGUGAAAGAGAAGCACACUUCAACCAAGAGGUACAAUUGAGGCAGGUGUCUGGAACCCAGAGCGGGGAACAACCAGCUGUGUUGGGGAGAAUGGGGGAAGUUGCCAAAGAGAACAGGAUACUUGAGCUGGGUGUUUGAGAGUCGAUAGAAUUUCUACAGUCGCCGCAGUUUGGAGAGAGCUCUCUGGGAAGUGUUAU
rnacentral:lncRNA from 1 species